GAUCCUGGCUCAGGAUGAACGCUAGCUACAGGCUUAACACAUGCAAGUCGAGGGGCAGCAUGAGCUCAGUUAUUCUGGGUUUGAUGGCGACCGGCGCACGGGUGAGUAACACGUAUCCAACCUGCCGAUGACUCGGGGAUAGCCUUUCGAAAGAAAGAUUAAUACCCGAUGGCAUAGUUCUUCCGCAUGGUAGAACUAUUAAAGAAUUUCGGUCAUCGAUGGGGAUGCGUUCCAUUAGGUUGUUGGCGGGGUAACGGCCCACCAAGCCUUCGAUGGAUAGGGGUUCUGAGAGGAAGGUCCCCCACAUUGGAACUGAGACACGGUCCAAACUCCUACGGGAGGCAGCAGUGAGGAAUAUUGGUCAAUGGACGAGAGUCUGAACCAGCCAAGUAGCGUGAAGGAUGACUGCCCUAUGGGUUGUAAACUUCUUUUAUACGGGAAUAAAGUCGAGGCCACGUGUGCCUUUUUGUAUGUACCGUAUGAAUAAGGAUCGGCUAACUCCGUG
rnacentral:rRNA from 1 species